rnacentral:lncRNA from 1 species
UUACUUGUGGGAGUGGUCAUCUUUGAAGACGAAGAUAAGGCCAUGAUUCCCGUUAUGGUACCUUGGGUUGAUGGAUCACCUUAGAGAGAAUUUUAGUGUUGGUGUUCUUAAGGAGUUUUUCAUACCUUUUUAUCAAUACCAAUGAUCAAUAUAUAAUGAUCAUAAGUGAUGGUAGGUUAUGAAAACUCUUUACAUUCUCUAUUAAAGGUACCUAAAGGGAAAUCAUAAUUGCCCCUUAAACUAAUCAAUAAUUACAAUUACUACCAUCAAGUAAUUGUCAGGGAUUAGUUAUGUCAUAUUGGUAAUGUUACAAAAUGAUCCGCAAGGCCACAUUGACGGGUUAUUUCUAACACACACAACUCAGAGCCUUCAAUUUUAGUUUUCCUUUAUUGAAACAUUCAUAACUAUAAUAGCUCGCACAAUCGAUCUGGGGAAGAGUUGUAUAGUCAUGGUAUUAAGCAAUCAUGGUUUGCUUUUUAACUAAUGGUAUAUAUCAUUGUGCAGAUCAGGCCUCUUUCAGAUCUAACA